rnacentral:rRNA from 1 species
UGGGGAAUAUUGCGCAAUGGAGGAAACUCUGACUCAGCAACGCCGCGUGAGUGAAGAAGGUUCUAUGGAUUGUAAACUUCUUUUGCAGGGGAAUAAAGGACGGUACGUGUACUGUUUUGUAUGUACCUUGCGAAUAAGGAUCGGCUAACUCCGUGCCAGCAGCCGCGGUAAUACGGAGGAUCCGAGCGUUAUCCGGAUUUAUUGGGUUUAAAGGGUGCGUAGGUGGAUUGUUAAGUCAGUGGUGAAAGUUUUCAGCUCAACUGAAAAAUUGCCGUUGAAACUGUCGAUCUUGAGUGCAAAUGAGGUAGGCGGAAUGUGUUGUGUAGCGGUGAAAUGCUUAGAUAUAACACAGAACUCCGAUUGCGAAGGCAGCUUACUGGGAUGCAACUGACACUGAUGCACGAAAGCGUGGGUAUCAAACA